rnacentral:rRNA from 1 species
UACGGAAGGUCCAGGCGUUAUCCGGAUUUAUUGGGUUUAAAGGGAGCGUAGGCCGUGGAUUAAGCGUGUUGUGAAAUGUAGACGCUCAACGUCUGAAUUGCAGCGCGAACUGGUUCACUUGAGUAUGCGCAACGUAGGCGGAAUUCGUCGUGUAGCGGUGAAAUGCUUAGAUAUGACGAAGAACUCCGAUUGCGAAGGCAGCUUGCGGGAGCAUAACUGACGCUGAAGCUCGAAGGUGCGGGUAUCAAACAGG